GGCUUUCUGGAACUUACCACAGGCUGUAUUCUUAUACCGACUGUAUACAAAGUGGAAGAAGAGUAAACCUGUCCUCUAUAUACCUCAGCCCAGGCCUUGUACCUGGCCUAUAUUAUAAAUGGGGGGAUGUUG
ensembl:snoRNA